GGGGAUGAAUUGGUUUCGACAAGAAAGGCACUUUUAAAAAUGGUUGGGGCGCAUCUAUGCGUCAAAUAGAAAAAAAAUAACUGCUAAAAAAGAAGCAGAAUUGGCUAAGUUGUAUGCGUAUGCUCGUCCGAUGCUUUAUGCUCAGGACGCAUACUAUUACAACUAAAGCCCCCUUCUUUAAGUUUUGCCUGGUUUAACUUAAAGAGGGGAAAACCAACCAGGCAGUCCCCAAAAGAGUUUUUGGUUGGCUUUUGGGAGACUUUAAAUUACCAUUAAAUUACCAACCAACAAGCUUUUUGGGUUUUGGUUAUUUUACCAAAAAGCUUUAAGUUUUAAAAUAACCUAUCCCCAACUAAACAUUUUUAAAAGGCCUUUCUUGGACCCGGGUUCAAAUCCCGGCAUCUCCACCG
rnacentral:tmRNA from 1 species